rnacentral:rRNA from 1 species
UACGUAGGUGACAAGCGUUGUCCGGAUUUACUGGGCGUAAAGAGCGCGCAGGCGGUCGUUCAAGUCGAGUGUGAAAGCCCCCGGCUCAACUGGGGAGGGUCAUUCGAUACUGAUCGACUCGAAGGCAGGAGAGGGUAGUGGAAUUCCCGGUGUAGUGGUGAAACGCGUAGAUAUCAGGAGGAACACCAGUGGCGAAGGCGACUACCUGGCCUGUUCUUGACGCUGAGGCGCGAAAGCUAGGGGAGCAAACGGG